rnacentral:rRNA from 1 species
AGUGAACGCUGGCGGUAGACCUAACACAUGCAAGUCGAACGGCAGCACAGUAAGAGCUUGCUCUUACGGGUGGCGAGUGGCGGACGGGUGAGGAAUACAUCGGAAUCUACUUUUUCGUGGGGGAUAACGUAGGGAAACUUACGCUAAUACCGCAUACGACCUACGGGUGAAAGCAGGGGAUCUUCGGACCUUGCGCGAUUGAAUGAGCCGAUGUCGGAUUAGCUAGUUGGCGGGGUAAAGGCCCACCAAGGCGACGAUCCGUAGCUGGUCUGAGAGGAUGAUCAGCCACACUGGAACUGAGACACGGUCCAGACUCCUAAGGGAGGCAGCAGUGGGGAAUAUUGGACCAUGGGCGCAAGCCUGAUCCAGCCAUACCGCGUGGGUGAAGAAGGCCUUCGGGUUGUAAAGCCCUUUUGUUGGGAAAGAAAAGCAGCAGGUUAAUACCCCGCUGUUCUGACGGUACCCAAAGAAUAAGCACCGGCUAACUUCGUG